UACGGGGGGGGCAAGCGUUGUUCGGAAUUACUGGGCGUAAAGGGCUCGUAGGUGGCCAACUAAGUCAGACGUGAAAUCCCUCGGCUUAACCGGGGGAACUGCGUCUGAUACUGGAUGGCUUGAGUUCGGGAGAGGGAUGCGGAAUUCCAGGUGUAGCGGUGAAAUGCGUAGAUAUCUGGAGGAAUACCGGUGGCGAAGGCGGCAUCCUGGACCAUUACUGACGCUGAGGCGCGAAAAGCUAGGGGAGCAAACGGGG
rnacentral:rRNA from 1 species